rnacentral:tRNA from 1 species
GGCCCUGUAGCUCAACGGCAGAGCAGUUGCCUCUUAAGCAAACGGUUGUAGGUUCGAAUCCUACCAGGGUCAACA